UACGAAGGUGGCAAGCGUUGUUCGGAUUUACUGGGCGUACAGGGAGCGUAGGCGGUUGGAUAAGCCCUCCGUGAAAUCUCCAGGCUUAACCUGGAAAGUGCAGAGGGGACUGUUCAGCUAGAGGAUGGGAGAGGAGCGCGGAAUUCCCGGUGUAGCGGUGAAAUGCGUAGAGAUCGAGAGGAACACCUGCGGCGAAGGCGGGUUGCUGGGCUGACACUGACGCUGAGGCGCGAAAGCUAGGGGAGCGAACGGG
rnacentral:rRNA from 1 species